rnacentral:rRNA from 1 species
UACGUAGGGGGCUAGCGUUGUUCGGAAUUAUUGGGCGUAAAGGGCGCGUAGGCGGUUCGUUAAGUCGGUUGUGAAAGCCCGGGGCUUAACCCCGGGUCUGCAUUCGAUACGGGCAGGCUAGAGUUCGGUAGGGGAGAUCGGAAUUCCUGGUGUAGCGGUGAAAUGCGCAGAUAUCAGGAGGGACACCGGUGGCGAAGGCGGAUCUCUGGGCCGAUACUGACGCUGAGGAGCGAAAGCGUGGGGAGCGAACAGG